rnacentral:rRNA from 1 species
GAUGAACGCUGGCGGCGUGCCUAAUACAUGCAAGUCGAGCGAACGGACGAGAAGCUUGCUUCUCUGAUGUUAGCGGCGGACGGGUGAGUAACACGUGGAUAACCUACCUAUAAGACUGGGAUAACUUCGGGAAACCGGAGCUAAUACCGGAUAAUAUUUUGAACCGCAUGGUUCAAAAGUAAAAGACGGUCUUGCUGUCACUUAUAGAUGGAUCCGCGCUGCAUUAGCUAGUUGGUAAGGUAACGGCUUACCAAGGCAACGAUGCAUAGCCGACCUGAGAGGGUGAUCGGCCACACUGGAACUGAGACACGGUCCAGACUCCUACGGGAGGCAGCAGUAGGGAAUCUUCCGCAAUGGGCGAAAGCCUGACGGAGCAACGCCGCGUGAGUGAUGAAGGUCUUCGGAUCGUAAAACUCUGUUAUUAGGGAAGAACAUAUGUGUAAGUAACUGUGCACAUCUUGACGGUACCUAAUCAGAAAGCCACGGCUAUCUACGUG